rnacentral:lncRNA from 1 species
AAGGCACAAAGGAUGCUUGCUACUUCAGGCUUGCCAGGUCCAAUUUGCAAAUAUCAACCAUGUAAUGGAGCAGCAUGACAUUCUGUGGAAUAUCAAGACAGUCAAGACCCUGCUGCAUUAUGAGGGAGAACAGGAACAUUGACAGAGACUUGAGCUGACACCUUGUGUGGAAUUAAAGAAUGCAGAGAAUCAGUAUUAACUCUCGGGAUCCUGGACCUAGUGUAAAUGGAGCUCUCUACGAACUCUUCAGGAGUCCCUCAACUUACCCAUCAAAAUGUUUUACAGAUUGCAUCAUCUUGAGAUGAGCAGCUGCUUCAUCUUUGGUAAGAAGAAUGCAGUUCCAGGGGGACCACUCCAGGGAUUUAUUCCAUCUGACCAUGACCAGAUCACUGAGAUUGUCGCAAGCACUGAGGACUGACUGGGACGCCCAGAUGUUCUCUGUCAGGAGAAAUCUGACUAAUACAACAUGGAAUAUUGAGCCAGCACUUCUUGGUGACUUACAUUAAAGCCCUAGUACAUCUAAGAUUCUCUACAAGGAAAUAUACAUCUGUCAUGUCAAUAAUUCCUGAAUAAAAGUAGCAAAUAAGAAUUUAAGCUGAAAUAAACAUCAAAUUUAUUAACAAAAUAUUCAUUCUAUUGGACAAAAUAUGUAAUCAUUUUAAUUUGUGCUUUUCAAACUGUGGGUUGCUACCUCUUGGGUGAUACCAAAGUUUUCCAAAUGGAAAUCAGAAUAAGUAGACUGAGAUUGAAUAGAAAAUAUCAGAGUACAUCCAUAGGGGUAAAGAUAAACACUAUUUUGGAAACUUUUAUUUCUGAGGCAGAACAGCAUGUGUUUACAUGUACGGAUGCUGGGAAUCAGACUGCCUAGUUUUCAAUCCUGGUGCUGGUACUUAGUAGCGUAAACUUGGACAAGUUAGUUAACCACUCAGUGCUUCCCUUUCCUCACCUGCAGAAUGGAAAUAAUGCCUAUUUUGAUAGGAUUUUUGUG